AUUGAACGCUAGCGGCAUGCCUUACACAUGCAAGUCGAACGGCAGCACGGGGGCAACCCUGGUGGCGAGUGGCGAACGGGUGAGUAAUGCAUCGGAACGUGCCCAUCGAUGGGGGAUAACUGCGCGAAAGCGUUGCUAAUACCGCAUACGACCUACGGGUGAAAGCAGGGGACCGCAAGGCCUUGCGUCGAUGGAGCGGCCGAUGCCGGAUUAGCUAGUUGGUGAGGUAAAGGCUCACCAAGGCGACGAUCCGUAGCUGGGUCUGAGAGGACGACCCAGCCACACUGGGACUGAGACACGGCCCAGACUCCUACGGGAGGCAGCAGUGGGGAAUCUUGGACAAUGGGCGAAAGCCUGAUCCAGCAAUGCCGCGUGUGGGAAGAAGGCCCUCGGGUUGUAAACCACUUUUGGCGGGAAAGAAAUGGUCUGUGCUAAUACCACGGAUUGAUGACGGUACCCGCAGAAUAAGCACCGGCUAACUACGUG
rnacentral:rRNA from 1 species